CUGGACUAGUCUGCACACCCUGUGAACGUGUGUUUUGAGUUCUAUUGUUUUGAGGCCCAACAACAUUGGCUGGAGAAGCUCCUAGAUAAACUUCAAGUCCCAGGGUCCCCUGCUGCACUUCUAUAGGGUAGGCACUCACCUCUUCACAAAGGCGGAUUGCAGUUUGUGAAACCUGUGUGCUGUUGUCCAAUACUCCUAUGCGAUUAGGAAGAAAAAUGUUUAGAAAAUAGUCUGGUUUCUGUUAAUAAUAUUUCAGAAAGUUGAUAUUUACCUGAUGCAUGAGAUGUUUGCGUUUCUGCUGUUCUCCUCACAAUCUCCUCUCUACUGGGUAUCCUCCCUGAGGACUCUCUGUGUAUUGUCUUCAUUGCAGCAGUGUCAGAGGGAAAUUUUGCUAUGAUGUCACUCACUGACGUAUUCACCUGGUCAGACUCCAUAUCUAAAACCUCAAGACGAAACCCUGCAGUCAUGGAUGGGCUGUACAAAACUGCCACAUCAGAAAGGACGCUUGUCUUAGAUGUCUGUGGAUAUAUUCUGAAAGAAACUCUGUGAGUUGUGUGACUCUCUGGUGCCUCUGCUGUUCUCGCUACACUCUCUUCUCUGUGUGCUGCUUCCACUGUUGCUGCAGGAGGAAUCCUGCAAACAGAAGCAGUUGAAGACACCAGUGGCUCCUCCAUUGAUGGUGCCGAUGGAAUCCUGGCCAGACUGGAUUGAGGAGAAGUUCUGGGAGACAUUCUAGGAGAAACUCUGGGAGAUGUGUGUAUCUCUGCUGUUCUCCUCACACUCUCCUCUCUACUGGGUAUCCUGACUGAGGACACUCUGUGUGCUGCAUCCACUAGUUUUGUUUCAGAGAAAGCUCUUCCUGGUAAACAGCUUUCAGAAUAUCUUAUGAUUGUUUCAGAAGGAGCUCUUUCUGAUAAACUACUUUUUGAAGAUCUUCUUGAAACUGCUGGUGACAUUCUUCCAACAGAAGUAGAUGGAGAAACCAGUAGCUCCUCCAUUGAUGGUGCAGAUGGAAUUCUGGACAGACUGGAUUGUAGAGAAACUCUUUGAGAGGAGAUGUGGGAGAUGAUGGGAGAUGUGGGUCUGUCCAUUGAUGGCGCAAAGGGAAUCCUAGGCAGACUGAAUUGUGGGGAAAUAUCUGUACCAGACAGAGAUUCACCAACAUGAGCUGUGGAUAGAGACACAAAACUAAGCACAUACUGUUUACAUUUCACCUUACAAGUUUUGCCCAUGUUUACCCCACAACAAUCUUAUUAGUAGACCUUUCUGCAGAGUACGGAUGACAAUUGUACCUGAUAUGAGAGAGGUUUGUGGAGAAACUCUUUGCGAAGAUCUAGGAAACACUCUGGGAGAUGUGUGUCUCUCUGGUGUCUCUGCUGUUCUCCUCACACUCUCCUCUCUACUGGGUAUCCUGACUGAGGACACUCUGUGUGCUGCAUCCACUAGUUUUGUUUCAGAGAAAGGUCUUCCUGAUAAACCCCUUCCAGAAUAUCUUACGGAAGACACUGCUGGUGAAAGUCUACCAACAGAAGCAGUUGGAGACAUCCAUGGCUCCUCCAUUGUUGGUGCAGAGGAAAUCCUGGUCAGACUGGACUGUGGAGAAACUCGAGGAGAAAGUCUGGGAGACGUGUGUCUGUCUGGUGUCUCUGGUCUCGUUACUUCUUUUUCAGAGAAAGCUCUUCUUGUUAAACCACUUCCAGUAUAUCUUGCAGACACUACUGGUGAAAGUCUACCAACUGAAGUAGAUGGAGUCUCCUUCUUCUCCAGUGAUGGUAAUUCGUAAGCCUCCACCACAAGUUCCUCACCAACAGAUGGAGAAAGAUGCAAUUCUCCCACAGAUGAAUCUCUGUAGAAAACUGUCACAUCAGAAACAACACCUGUAAACGACGUCUGUGGAGAAACACUGGGAGAUGUGUCUCUCUCUGGUGUCUCUGCUGUUCUCAUCACACUCUCCUCUCUACUGGGUAUUGUUACCAAGAACCCUCUGUGUGCUCCAUCCACUGCUGUUUCAGAGGGAGCUCCUUUUAAGCCUAAUAAGUCACUUUCAGAACCGGCUGGUGACCAAUGAGAAUACAAUGGAGACGUCAUAAGCUCCUCCAUUGACAGUGUUUCGUUGUCUAUCUGAGCUGGUUCUGUUGCACCAUCCCUGAGAGACACAGAGGGAACCCUGGCAAGACUGAACUUAGAUGACAAGCCUGUAGCUGUUGGAGUAACAUCAACAUGAGUUGUGAAAAGACAGACCAGAUUGAAGUAUUCUGUGGUAUUUCACAAUUCAUUUUGCCCAUAAUACUGACAUAAACUAACUUGAAUGAAAUAUAAGGUUGUUAAAACUUUACCUGAGCUCACAGAUGUUUGUGGAGAAACCCUAGGAGAAACUCUGGAAGAUGUGUCUCUCCCUACUACUGUUUCAGAAGGGACUCUUUCUGCCAUGUCUCUUUGUGAACAUCUAGCAGACACUGUUUGUGAAAUACCUCCAACAGCAGCUGGAGGCCCUGGUAGUUCUGCCAUUGAUGCUUUAUACAUCUCCUCCAUAUACAUCACUUCUCUAGAAGCUGAUUCUGCUGUUCUUUCACCAAUAGAGGAAAUCCUGUCCAGACUAGAUUUAGGUGAAAUGUCUGUACCUC
rnacentral:lncRNA from 1 species